GACAGCCUGUUUCGGGAUCAUCCGAUUCAUUCAGUGCUCCCUGGGUUUGUCUGCUGUUAAACAGGGGAAGUUAGGAACAAACAGAACAGUAUUUAAACAGCAAAGAAAGCCAACAUCCAUAGAGCCCAGGUGCUUUUGAACUGUCCUUCUGGGUGUCUUCCACCACAGACUUCAUAUGUGCACCAAUGGCACAUCAGAUACACAGACCAAACUCUUUCCUCUGAAAUGAUUCACCUAGGCAGCAACAAAGUUCAACAUUCAUGAAAUCACAGUGAACAGCUGAUGCACAGGGACUUCUGUACCACAAAUAAGUCAUAUCAUUCUAUGCAAGAUUCAAUAACACAUCUUCAAAAUAGAGCAAGAGGAUCCAACUCUAUUGUCAACUUCCUAAGAAC